CCGGCACGAGUGGCAAUCAGCUCAUAGAAACCAUAAAUGGAUUUAUUUUGGAUUUUUUUGCUCUGUACAACUUUAAUGAGAAAUCUCAGAAACAACAAAAAAAUCAAAAUUUUGGGCUCAUCCUGGAAUUUCCCUUUCUUAUUUUACAUUUUCCCAUCGGAAUUAGCAAAAUAUUUUCAUUUUUGGGGGAUUUUUUGGGAUUUCUUUGGGAUUUUUUGGGAUUUUUUUUUGGGAUCGGCUCCGAGGGUUUGGAAUUUUUAUUUUUUGGGAUUCAAAAAAUUCAAGGGGAAAUGAAAAGAAAUGAAAAUUUCCAUAAUUUUGGGGAAAAUUUUGGUAAAUUCUAUUUUUUUUUACAAAAAAUUCUAAAUUUUUAAGGCAAAAAUUUCUCUAUUUUUGGCAAAAUUUCUCUUUUUUUGGCAAAAAAAUCUUUUUUUAAUUGGGUAAAAAUUCCUUUUCUGGGGUCAUAAAUUCAAUUUUUUUUUCAAAAAUUCCUCUAUUUGGGGCAAAAUUUCAUUUUUUGGGAAAAAGAUUCAAUUUAUUUUGGAAAAAGUUCAAAUUUUUUAAAAUAUUCAAAAUUUAUCAGCAAAAUAUUAAAUUUUUUCUGCAAAAUUUCCCUCUUUUUGGCAAAAAAAUCCUCUUUUUCCGGGAAAAAUUCAAAUUUUUUACAAAUAUUUCUCUUUUUUGGGCAAAAAUUCAAAAUUUUUCUGCAUAAAUUCUAUGUUUUUAAAAAAAUCAUUUUUUUGGGCAAAAAUUCAAAGUUUUGGCGUAAAAAUUCAAAUUUCUUUCUGACAAAAUAUCCUAUACUUUUGGGGUACAAAAUUCAAAUUUCUUUGGGCAAAAAUUCUUUUUUUUUGGUAAAAAUUCGUCUUUUAUUGGCAAAAAUUCAAAUUUUUUUUCUACAAAAAAUUAAUCUUUUCUUUUAAAUGCCGCUUUUUUGGCAAAAAUUCGGAGUUUUUUCUCAAAAAUUUAAAUUUUUUUCUGGUAAAAUGCCUGGUGGUUUUGGGACAAAUUUUGGGUUUUUUGGUAAAAAUUCCUCAUUUUUUGGGCAAAAAUUCCUCUCUUUUUUGCAAAAAUUCAUAAUUUUGGGGUGGGGGACAAAAAUUCAAUCUUUUUUUCCGAAAAAAAUCAAAUUUUUCCCACAAAAAAUCCCAAUUUUGGGGCAAAAUUCCCAUUUUCUCCCCUCGCGUUCAGCGUCGGUUCCGCGCGGAUCCUCCCGCCCUCACGGCGCCCUCGGGAACUCUCGGAAAUGCUCGGAAACCUUCGGGAACUCUCGUGGAGCCCUCGGAAACCUUCGGGAACUGUCGGGGGAGCCCUCGGAAACCUUCGGCAACUCUCGGGGAGCCCUCGGAAACCUUCGGGAACUCUCGGGGAGCCCUCGGAAACCCUCGGGAACUGUCGGGGGAGCCCUCGGAAACUCUCGGGAGCCGGCGGGGGAGCCCUCGGGAACCGUCGGAAGCCAUCGGAAGAGCCCUCAGGAGCCCUCGGGAACUGGCGGGGGAGCCCUCGGGAACCGGCGGGAUCUGGCGGGAACGGGCAGGGGAGCCCUCGGGAGCCGGCAGAAACCGUCGGGGGGGCGCUCGGGAGCCGGCGGGA
rnacentral:lncRNA from 1 species